rnacentral:rRNA from 1 species
CAGUCGCCACGGUAAUACGAAGGGGGCUAGCGUUGUUCGGAAUUACUGGGCGUAAAGGGCGCGUAGGCGGCCAUCAAGUUAGAUGUGAAAGCCCUGGGCUCAACCUAGGAAUUGCAUUUGAUACUGUUUGGCUUGAGUUCGGGAGAAGUGAGUGGAAUUCCCAGUGUAGAGGUGAAAUUCGUAGAUAUUGGGAAGAACACCAGUGGCGAAGGCGGCUCACUGGACCGACACUGACGCUGAGGCGCGAAAGCGUGGGGAGCAAACAGGAUUAGAUACCCGCGUAGUCCCUGUCUCUUAUACA